GUCGAGCGGUAGCACAGGGAGCUUGCUCCUGGGUGACGAGCGGCGGACGGGUGAGUAAUGUCUGGGAAACUGCCUGAUGGAGGGGGAUAACUACUGGAAACGGUAGCUAAUACCGCAUAACGUCUACGGACCAAAGUGGGGGACCUUCGGGCCUCAUGCCAUCAGAUGUGCCCMSAUGGGAUUAGCUAGUAGGUGGGGUAAUGGCUCACCUAGGCGACRAUCCCUAGCUGGUCUGAGAGGAUGACCAGCCACACUGGAACUGAGACACGGUCCAGACUCCUACGGGAGGCAGCAGUGGGGAAUAUUGCACAAUGGGCGCAAGCCUGAUGCAGCCAUGCCGCGUGUGUGAAGAAGGCCUUCGGGUUGUAAAGCACUUUCAGCGAGGAGGAAGGGUWSWGUGUUAAUAGCACWKUGCAUUGACGUUACUCGCAGAARAAGCACCGGCUAACUCCGUGCCAGCAGCCGCGGUAAUACGGAGGGUGCAAGCGUUAAUCGGAAUUACUGGGCGUAAAGCGCACGCAGGCGGUUUGUUAAGUCAGAUGUGAAAUCCCCGCGCUUAACGUGGGAACUGCAUUUGAAACUGGCA
rnacentral:rRNA from 1 species